rnacentral:rRNA from 1 species
GAUGAACGCUGGCGGCGUGCCUAAUACAUGCAAGUCGAGCGAACAGACGAGGAGCUUGCUCCUCUGACGUUAGCGGCGGACGGGUGAGUAACACGUGGAUAACCUACCUAUAAGACUGGGAUAACUUCGGGAAACCGGAGCUAAUACCGGAUAAUAUAUUGAACCGCAUGGUUCAAUAGUGAAAGACGGUUUUGCUGUCACUUAUAGAUGGAUCCGCGCCGCAUUAGCUAGUUGGUAAGGUAACGGCUUACCAAGGCGACGAUGCGUAGCCGACCUGAGAGGGUGAUCGGCCACACGGGAACUGAGACACGGUCCAGACUCCUACGGGAGGCAGCAGUAGGGAAUCUUCCGCAAUGGGCGAAAGCAUGACGGAGCAACGCCGCGUGAGUGAUGAAGGUCUUCGGAUCGUAAAACUCUGUUAUUAGGGAAGAACAAAUGUGUAAGUAACUAUGCACGUCUUGACGGUACCUAAUCAGAAAGCCACGGCUAACUACGUG